GACGAACGCUGGCGGCGUGCUUAACACAUGCACGUCGCACGAAGUGGCGAACGGGUGAGUAAUACGUGGGUAACCUGCCCUCCUUUUUGGGAUAAGCCUUGGAAACGGGGUCUAAUACCGAAUAAAGGGGGAUGGGCUCGCGGCCUAUCAGCUUGUUGGUGGGGUGAUGGCCUACCAAGGCGGUGACGGGUGGCCGGCCUGAGAGGGUGAACGGGCACAUUGGGAAUGAGAUACGGCCCAGGGUCCGACGGGAGGGAGAAGUGGGGGAUAUGGCACAAUGGGCGAAAGCCAGAUGCAGCGACGCCGAGUGGGGGAUGAGGGCUUUGGGGUUGUAAACCUCUUGCGCAAUCGAGCGGGUAGGUGGAGAAGAAGCGCCGGCUAACUACGUGCCAGCAGCCGCGGUAAUUC
rnacentral:rRNA from 1 species